GACGAACGCUGGCGGCGUGCUUAACACAUGCAAGUCGAACGGAAAGGCCCCUUUGGGGGUACUCGAGUGGCGAACGGGUGAGUAACACGUGAGUAACCUGCCCUUGACUUCGGGAUAACUUCAGGAAACUGGGGCUAAUACCGGAUAGGAAUCCUUGCUGCAUGGUGGGGGUUGGAAAGCUUCGGCGGUUUUGGAUGGACUCGCGGCUUAUCAGCUUGUUGGUGGGGUAGUGGCUUACCAAGGCUUUGACGGGUAGCCGGCCUGAGAGGGCGACCGGCCACAUUGGGACUGGGAUACGGCCCAGACUCCUACGGGAGGCAGCAGUGGGGAAGAUUGCACAAUGGGCGGAAGCCUGAUGCAGCAACGCCGCGGGCGGGAUGACGGCCUUCGGGUUGUAAACCGCGUUCAGCAGGGGCGAAGCUUGUGGUGACGGUACCUGCAGAAGAAGCACCGGCUAACUACGUG
rnacentral:rRNA from 1 species